GACGUAGGGCGCGAGCGUUGUCCGGAUUUAUUGGGCGUAAAGAGCUCGUAGGCGGCUUGUCGCGUCGACCGCGAAAACUUGGGGCUCAACCCCAAGCCUGCGGUCGAUACGGGCAGGCUCGAGUUCGGUAGGGGAGACUGGAAUUCCUGGUGUAGCGGUGAAAUGCGCAGAUAUCAGGAGGAACACCGGUGGCGAAGGCGGUUCUCUGGGAAUAUCCUGACGCUGAGGAGCGAAAGUGUGGGGAGCGAACAGG
rnacentral:rRNA from 1 species